rnacentral:rRNA from 1 species
ACCAGACUCCUACGGGAGGCAGCAGUGAGGAAUAUUGGUCAAUGGGCGGGAGCCUGAACCAGCCGUGCCGCGUGAAGGCGAGUGCCCUACGGGCGUUAAACUUCUUUUGUGCGGGAGCAAUAAGGGCCACGCGUGGCCCGAUGAGAGUACCGCACGAAUAAGCAUCGGCUAACUCCGUGCCAGCAGCCGCGGUAAUACGGGGGAUGCGAGCGUUAUCCGGAUUUAUUGGGUUUAAAGGGUGCGUAGGCGGAAUGCCAAGUCAGCGGUAAAAUCGCGGGGCUCAACCUCGCUCCGCCGUUGAAACUGGCGUUCUUGAGUGGGCGAGAAGUAUGCGGAAUGCGUGGUGUAGCGGUGAAAUGCAUAGAUAUCACGCAGAACUCCGAUUGCGAAGGCAGCAUACCGGCGCCCAACUGACGCUGAAGCACGAAAGCGUGGGUAUCGAACAGGAUUAGAUACCCGGGUA